AGUAAUUUGAUUUUGGUUUAUGAAUAAUAUAUUAUUUAUAGUAUUAUGGAAAUUUUGAUGAGUAGGUAAGACGUUUUUUGUUUAAAAAACAAUAGACAUAAUUGUGACUUUUGUGUAUAUGAUUAUUAAUCCAGUGUAGAGAGUUAAAAAAUUAGGUAAGCCUAGAUUUAUGAAAAAUAAAUAGAAAUAGCUAAAACUGUGCCAGCAGCUGCGGUUAUACUGUUAUUUCAAGUUAUUUGAUGUGGCUGGGACUUUGAUAUAUAAAAAAGAUUAUUUAUUAUUUUUGUUUAAGUAUAGGUAGAAUUAGUUUAGGUGAAGGAUCAGAGAAUAACAAAAUGAUUAGUAAAAGUGAAAAAAAGAGUUAAACUAGGAUUAGAUACCCUAUUAUUCUUUAAUGUAAAAUUAUUGGCCGGGUAUUAUGAAUUUUAAUGUAAUUAUAUGUUUAAAAUCUAAAAAAUUUGGCGGUUUUCUUAAAUCAGGGGAACUUGUUGUUUAAUAUGAUAAUCCGCAUAAUAUAGCUCUUUUUGAAUGGGUUUGUGUAUUUCCGUUAUUAGUUUAUUCUAAAAGGAGAUAGAAAAAAACAAUAAGCAUAAAUAAAUUGUAGGAUUUCAGGUUAAAUGCAGCUUAUAUAAAGAGUAUAAAUGAGUUACAGUGGGAGAAUAAGAAUGUUUAUUAUUAAAAUGUUAAAUAAAUUAGGACUUGGAAGUAAAUUAUAAUAUUAAUAUAGAUAGGUUGAAAUAAACGAAUGAAAAUGUACAUAUCGCCCGUCACUCUCGUGAGAGAUAAGUCGUAACAUAGUAAGGUUAGUGGAAGCUGGUCUUAG
rnacentral:ncRNA from 1 species